CGGGUUGAAUUUGGUGCCCAAAAUUUCCAGAUCAAAAAUUCAAUAUUUAAGGACAUUCCAGAUUUAAUUUCGUGAUUUUUAGAGAUCAGGAACACCUCGAACGAAGUUGUCAAGUUACUCUGCAGUUUUUCGGGUUUUCUGUUUUCAGCAAUUUUUAUUGAUUCUUAACUGUAGGUUUUCAUCUGUUUGCUUUUAUUCUUCCG
rnacentral:lncRNA from 1 species